UUGUGGCCACAUCACGUUGAAACAUCGAUUCCCGUAUGAUCACCGAAGUUAAGCAACGUCGAGCCUGGCCAAUACCUAGAUUAGUGACCGCUUGGGAAUACCAAGUGCUGUAAG